AACGAACGCUGGCGGCAGGCUUAACACAUGCAAGUCGAACGCCCCGCCAGGGGGGUGGCAGACGGGUGAGUAACGCGUGGGAACAUACCCUUUUCUACGGAAUAGCUCUGGGAGACUGGAAUUAAUACCGUAUACGCCCUACGGGGGAAAGAUUUAUCGGGGAAGGAUUGGCCCGCGUUGGAUUAGCUAGUUGGUGGGGUAAAGGCCUACCAAGGCGACGAUCCAUAGCUGGUCUGAGAGGAUGAUCAGCCACAUUGGGACUGAGACACGGCCCAAACUCCUACGGGAGGCAGCAGUGGGGAAUAUUGGACAAUGGGCGCAAGCCUGAUCCAGCCAUGCCGCGUGAGUGAUGAAGGCCUUAGGGUUGUAAAGCUCUUUCAACGAUGAAGAUAAUGACGGUAGUCGGAGAAGAAGCCACGGCUAACUUCGUG
rnacentral:rRNA from 1 species